ACGAACGCUGGCGGCAGGCUUAACACAUGCAAGUCGAACGCCCCGCAAGGGGAGUGGCAGACGGGUGAGUAACGCGUGGGAAUCUACCCAGUUCUACGGAACAACUGAGGGAAACUUCAGCUAAUACCGUAUACGCCCUACGGGGGAAAGAUUUAUCGCUGAGGGAGUGGCCCGCGUCUGAUUAGCUAGUUGGUGAGGUAAAGGCUCACCAAGGCUACGAUCAGUAGCAGGUCUGAGAGGAUGAUCUGCCACACUGGGACUGAGACACGGCCCAGACUCCUACGGGAGGCAGCAGUUAGGAAUAUUGGACAAUGGGCGAAAGCCUGAUCCAGCCAUGCCGCGUGUGUGAUGAAGGCCUUAGGGUUGUAAAGCACUUUCGUUGGGGAUGAUAAUGACCGUACCCAAAGAAGAAGCCACGGCUAAAUUCGUGCCAGCAGCCGCGGUAAUACGAAUGUGGCAAGCGUUGUUCGGAAUCACUGGGCGUAAAGAAUGCGUAGGCGGCUUAACAAGUCGGAAGUGAAAUCCCAGGGCUUAACCCUGGAACUGCUUUCGAAACUGUUUUGCUAGAGUCCCGGAGGGGUUAGCGGAAUUCCGAGUGUAGAGGUGAAAUUCGCAGAUAUUCGGAGGAACACCAGUGGCGAAGGCGGCUAACUGGACGGGAACUGACGCUGAGGCAUGAAAGUGUGGGGAUCAAACAGGAUUAGAUACCCUGGUAGUCCACACCGUAAACGAUGUGUGCUAGUUGUCGGGCAGCUUUGCUGUUCGGUGACGGAGCUAACGUUUUAAGCAUACCGCCUGGGAAGUACGGCCGCAAGGUUAAAACUCAAAGGAAUUGACGGGGACCCGCACAAGCAGUGGAACAUGUCCUU
rnacentral:rRNA from 1 species